rnacentral:rRNA from 1 species
UACGGGGGGAGCAAGCGUUGUUCGGAAUUACUGGGCGUAAAGGGCGCGUAGGCGGUUAAGUGAGUGAGAUGUGAAAGGCUCCGGCUCACCCGGAGAAAUGCAUCUCAUACUGCUUAGCUAGAGUACAGGAGAGGAAACGAGAAUUCCAGGUGUAGCGGUGAAAUGCGUAGAUAUCUGGAGGAAUACCGGUGGCGAAGGCGCGUUUCUGGCCUGUUACUGACGCUGAUGCGCGAUAGCUAGGGGAGCAAACGGG